rnacentral:lncRNA from 1 species
CUGCAGUUCUCCUUCUUUCAAACUUGCCACUGCUCAUCUCAUAUCUCAUUUGCCUUCUCCUGAUUUGGUUGCUGAUUUGUGUGUGUAGUUGUGGCUCCAGCCGUCAGUACUUGCUUGGUAGUGAUAAUAGGAGUCGCAAGCUCAAUAUGGAUAUCAUUUUUAGCCUGAUUUUGUCUUAGUCGAGCAGCAAAUGAUUGGAUAAUAGUGUAGGGAGCUGGUUCAGGGACUAUGUCCUUAUUAGCCU